GCUCCCGUAGCCUAGUGGUAAGAGCGUCAGCUUCUGAUGUGAGAGGUCGAGGUUUGAGACCCCAGCGGAUGCA